AGGACGAACGCUGGCGGCGUGCUUAACACAUGCAAGUCGAACGAAGAGCGAUGGAAGCUUGCUUCUAUCAAUCUUAGUGGCGAACGGGUGAGUAACGCGUAAUCAACCUGCCCUUCAGAGGGGGGACAACAGUUGGAAACGACUGCUAAUACCGCAUACGAUCUAAUCUCGGCAUCGAGGAUAGAUGAAAGGUGGCCUCUACAUGUAAGCUAUCACUGAAGGAGGGGAUUGCGUCUGAUUAGCUAGUUGGAGGGUAACGCCCACAAGGCGAUGAUCAGUACGCCGGUCUGAGAGGAUCGGAACGGCCACUAGUUGGGACUGGAGACCGACCGGCCAGACCUACCGUACGGGAGCUAGGCAGGU
rnacentral:rRNA from 1 species